rnacentral:lncRNA from 1 species
GACACAGAAUCAGCAUUUGGGGGAUGCGGGAGACCAGGGACGACUCCUUCCUCCUGGGAGAGCUGGGAUUCCAGUCCUGGGAGUGAUUCUGGGUCAUCAGGCCGGAGAAUCACACUCUCUGCUAUCAGCAUCCAACCUACUUGAGUCCUGACCCCACACUGCCAGGAGAGUCCAGCAAGCCCUGAGGGCCUGAGCACAGCCAGGCUGGACACUGGAGGCAGCCCCGGGAGAUGGAUGAACCCCCAUACAUUCACAAUGCCCCUUCUAACAUAUUUUCACCAUAUUCUAAACC